GACAGAGGGUGCAAACGUUGCUCGGAAUUACUGGGCGUAAAGGGCGCGUAGGCGGCCUGCUAAGUCGAACGUGAAAUCCCCGGGCUCAACCCGGGAACUGCGUCCGAUACUGGCAGGCUUGAAUCCGGGAGAGGGAUGUGGAAUUCCAGGUGUAGCGGUGAAAUGCGUAGAUAUCUGGAGGAACACCGGUGGCGAAGGCGGCAUCCUGGACCGGCAUUGACGCUGAGGCGCGAAAGCCAGGGGAGCAAACGGG
rnacentral:rRNA from 1 species